rnacentral:rRNA from 1 species
CCUACGGGAGGCAGCAGUGGGGAAUUUUGGACAAUGGGCGCAAGCCUGAUCCAGCAAUGCCGCGUGAGUGAAGAAGGCCUUCGGGUUGUAAAGCUCUUUUGUCAGGGAAGAAACGGCCGAGGCUAAUACCUUUGGCUAAUGACGGUACCUGAAGAAUAAGCACCGGCUAACUACGUGCCAGCAGCCGCGGUAAUACGUAGGGUGCAAGCGUUAAUCGGAAUUACUGGGCGUAAAGCGUGCGCAGGCGGUUUUGUAAGUCUGACGUGAAAUCCCCGGGCUCAACCUGGGAAUUGCGUUGGAGACUGCAAGGCUGGAGCCUGGCAGAGGGGGGUAGAAUUCCACGUGUAGCAGUGAAAUGCGUAGAGAUGUGGAGGAACACCGAUGGCGAAGGCAGCCCCCUGGGUCAAGACUGACGCUCAUGCACGAAAGCGUGGGGAGCAAACAGGAUUAGAUACCCUGGUAGUCCACGCCCUAAACGAUGUCUACUAGUUGUCGGGUCUUAAUUGACUUGGUAACGCAGCUAACGCGUGAAGUAGACCGCCUGGGGAGUACGGUCGCAAGAUUAAAACUNAAAUUGAAUUGACGG